UUCAGUCACAGAUCUGUGUCAGUUACGGAGAACAAGGACAGUCCAAGCUGGGGCCUUUUGUGAUGCUUUUGAAAGGAGGGACUCUAAAAGGCCCAGGCACAUGUUCUCUCCAGCAGUAAAACUCCAUCCUGUGAUUCACGGAGCCUCCCGUCUGCCUCCAGCAUCGCCAAGGCUGCAUAAUAUCACAGUCCUCAGAGCGACUGUGGUCCUUUCUGCUUGUGCCACCGGACAGAUGAUUUCUACCUUUGCGCAGCGGGUGGUGAAUUUUGAACGAAUGAUUUACUGGUUAACUCAGAGGCCUGCGCUUGCUCAGUGCGCAUGUGCGCAGCAUUCGCAAGACGCAAUGAUGUCCCGAGAUAGGAGCUCCAGAAAUGGCUCCAUACACACUCGUGAACAGUGUUCUGCACUGAGGAAGCACUGGGGAUGCUCAGCUCUCUAACUCUCCCGAGUCUGUUCUCAGUGCCCACGUUCACACUGGUGGGUCCCCAUGUUCUACGGUAAAGGGACUCUACAGAAGACACUUUAACCAGUGUUUGCUAAUCUAAUCCAGCCACGAUAGAGGAGCACCACUUUCAGAGCAUUGAAAGAACCUAUGUUAUGGAAGAAACAAAUAGAUUUCUCUUGCUACGUUUAACAUGAGGCAGGAGAGUAGACGAAUGAACCUAGCGAAAGAGUCUUUAAAAAUACGCUUAGGGUUUGUGCUUAAACCACAACGCGCUGCACCAAGCUUUCCAGCUAAUUGGAGGACUCCCGCAGACACCUACUUGGCUGUUGCAACCAUUGACAGAACGCACCUCAGAAAAACUCCGGAAGUCAAGAUUCAGUGUCCAGGUACAGGGCUUUUGGCCUCCUUUCAUAGUCUCAAUUUAUUCCCCGAUUUCAAGAUGGCACCUGUGGCGGCUGCCAGAUGGGGGUCUGGUGUUUGCCUUAGUUCAGCACCACCUCACCUCCUGCUCUAGGAACGCCACCCAUUUCCCCUCCCCACCUUUUCUUCCUUCUUUUGAGUCAGAACCAAAAGCAGCUGUGCGAGUCCUAGAAACUCUCCC
rnacentral:lncRNA from 1 species